rnacentral:rRNA from 1 species
GAUGAACGCUGGCGGCGUGCCUAAUACAUGCAAGUCGAGCGAACAGACGAGGAGCUUGCUCCUCUGACGUUAGCGGCGGACGGGUGAGUAACACGUGGAUAACCUACCUAUAAGACUGGGAUAACUUCGGGAAACCGGAGCUAAUACCGGAUAAUAUAUUGAACCGCAUGGUUCAAUAGUGAAAGACGGUUUUGCUGUCACUUAUAGAUGGAUCCGCGCCGCAUUAGCUAGUUGGUAAGGUAACGGCUUACCAAGGCAACGAUGCGUAGCCGACCUGAGAGGGUGAACGGCCCACCUGGAACUGAGACCCGGUCCAGACUCCUACGGGAGGCAGCAGUAGGGAAUCUUCCCCAAUGGGCGAAAGCCUGACGGAGCAACGCCGGGUGGGUGAUGAAGGUCUUCGGAUCGUAAAACCCUGUUAUUAGGGAAGAACAAAUGUGUAAGUAACUAUGCACGUCUUGACGGUACCUAAUCAGAAAGCCACGGCUAACUACGUG